rnacentral:lncRNA from 1 species
CUCUGUCAUAAUCUCUUGUGUGCACAUUAAUUGAUUCCAAACUUGUAUAAAGAGGUCUCCAGUAUGAGAUUAGAUAUGUUGAUGUAUAUCCCCCUUUUUCCAUAAUUUAUUAACUUAUUAGAAGUAUUAUAGUGCUUUGAGUUCUGUAUACAAAUUUGUGCUUAGUAACUAUACAUGCAUUCGAAGAUGUCUGCAGCUUUAGAUUUUCAGUUUUGUGAGAGAGAGAGAGAGAGAGAGAGAG